AUUGAACGCUGGCGGCAUGCCUUACACAUGCAAGUCGAACGGCAGCACGGGAGCUUGCUCCUGGUGGCGAGUGGCGAACGGGUGAGUAAUACAUCGGAACGUGCCCAGUAGUGGGGGAUAGCCCGGCGAAAGCCGGAUUAAUACCGCAUACGACCUACGGGUGAAAGCGGGGGACCGUAAGGCCUCGCGCUAUUGGAGCGGCCGAUGUCUGAUUAGCUUGGUGGUGGGGUAAAAGCCCACCAAGGCGACGAUCAGUAGCUGGUCUGAGAGGACGAUCAGCCACAGUGGGACUGAGACACGGCCCAGACUCCUACGGGAGGCAGCAGUGGGGAAUUUUGGACAAUGGGGGCAACCCUGAUCCAGCAAUGCCGCGUGUGCGAAGAAGGCCUUCGGGUUGUAAAGCACUUUUGUCAGGGAAGAAAUCUUUCAGGCUAAUACCCUUGGAAGGAUGACGGUACCUGAAGAAUAAGCACCGGCUAACUACGUGCCAGCAGCCGCCGUAA
rnacentral:rRNA from 1 species